ACUCCUACGGGAGGCAGCAGUGGGGAAUUUUGGACAAUGGGCGAAAGCCUGAUCCAGCAAUGCCGCGUGAGUGAAGAAGGCCUUCGGGUUGUAAAGCUCUUUUGUCAGGGAAGAAACGGUGAAAGCUAAUAUCUUUUGCUAAUGACGGUACCUGAAGAAUAAGCACCGGCUAACUACGUGCCAGCAGCCGCGGUAAUACGUAGGGUGCAAGCGUUAAUCGGAAUUACUGGGCGUAAAGCGUGCGCAGGCGGUUUUGUAAGUCUGAUGUGAAAUCCCCGGGCUCAACCUGGGAAUUGCAUUGGAGACUGCAAGGCUAGAAUCUGGCAGAGGGGGGUAGAAUUCCACGUGUAGCAGUGAAAUGCGUAGAUAUGUGGAGGAACACCGAUGGCGAAGGCAGCCCCCUGGGUCAAGAUUGACGCUCAUGCACGAAAGCGUGGGGAGCAAACAGGAUUAGAUACCCGAGUAGUCCCAU
rnacentral:rRNA from 1 species